GGAGGUAUGGCUCAAGUGGUGUAGAGUGCCAGUCCAGCAUGUGUGAGAACCUGGGUUCAAACCUCAGUACCACCA
rnacentral:tRNA from 1 species